ACUGGAGUUUGAUCCUGGCUCAGAUUGAACGCUGGCGGAAUGCUUUACACAUGCAAGUCGAACGGUAGAGGGGGCAACCCCUCGAGAGUGGCGAACGGGUGAGUAAUAUAUCGGAACGUGCCCAGUCGUGGGGGAUAACGUAGCGAAAGUUACGCUAAUACCGCAUACGAUCUAAGGAUGAAAGCGGGGAUCGCAAGACCUCGCGCGAUUGGAGCGGCUGAUAUCAGAUUAGGUUGUUGGUGAGGUAAAAGCUCACCAAGCCGACGAUCUGUAGCUGGUUUGAGAGAACGACCAGCCACACUGGGACUGAGACACGGCCCAGACUCCGUACGGGAGCAGCAGUGGGGAAUUUUGGACAAUGGGCGAAAGCCUGAUCCAGCAAUGCCCGCGUGCAGGAA
rnacentral:rRNA from 1 species